GGAUUAGAUACCCGGGUAGUCCUGGCAGUAAACGGUGCACGUUUGGUGUGGGAGGAUUCGACCCCUUCUGCGCCGGAGCUAACGCGUUAAACGUGCCGCCUGGGGAGUACGGUCGCAAGAUUAAAACUCAAAGAAAUUGACGGGGGCCCGCACAAGCGGUGGAGUAUGUGGCUUAAUUCGAUGCAACGCGAAGAACCUUACCUGGCCUUGACAUGCAUCUCUAAGUUGGUGAAAGCCAGCGAGUGGAGCAAUCCACAAUUUGCACAGGUGCUGCAUGGCUGUCGUCAGCUCGUGUCUUGAGAUGUUGGGUUAAGUCCCGCAACGAGCGCAACCCCUGUGAACUGUUGCCACCGGACCGAGAGGUCCGAGCACUCUGUUC
rnacentral:rRNA from 1 species